rnacentral:rRNA from 1 species
AAUAGAUACCCCGGUAGUCCACGCCGUAAACGAUGGGUACUAGGUGUAGGGGGUAUCGACCCCCCCUGUGCCGGAGUCAACACAAUAAGUACCCCGCCUGGGGAGUACGGCCGCAAGGUUGAAACUCAAAGGAAUUGACGGGGGCCCGCACAAGCGGUGGAGUAUGUGGUUUAAUUCGACGCAACGCGAAGAACCUUACCAGGGCUUGACAUCCUCUGACAAUCGUAGAGAUACGAAGUUCUUUCCUUCGGGAAAGACAGAGAGACAGGUGGUGCAUGGUUGUCGUCAGCUCGUGUCGUGAGAUGUUGGGUUAAGUCCCGCAACGAGCGCAACCCUUAUUCUUAGUUGCCAGCACGAAAGGUGGGCACUCUAAGGAGACUGCCGGUGACAAACCGGAGGAAGGUGGGGAUGACGUCAAAUCAUCAUGCCCUUUAUGUCCUGGGCUACACACGUACUACAAUGGCCUGUACAAAGGGAAGCGAAGCUGUGAAGCGGAGCCAAUCCCAAAAGCAGGUCUCAGUUCGGAUUGCAGGCUGCAACUCG